UGCAAGUCGAGCGAACAUGAAGGGAGCUUGCUCCCGGAUGUUAGCGGCGGACGGGUGAGUAACACGUGGGUAACCUGCCUGUAAGACUGGGAUAACUCCGGGAAACCGGAGCUAAUACCGGAUAGUUCCUUGAACCGCAUGGUUCAAGGAUGAAAGACGGUUUCGGCUGUCACUUACAGAUGGACCCGCGGCGCAUUAGCUAGUUGGUGGGGUAAUGGCUCACCAAGGCGACGAUGCGUAGCCGACCUGAGAGGGUGAUCGGCCACACUGGGACUGAGACACGGCCCAGACUCCUACGGGAGGCAGCAGUAGGGAAUCUUCCGCAAUGGACGAAAGUCUGACGGAGCAACGCCGCGUGAGUGAUGAAGGUUUUCGGAUCGUAAAGCUCUGUUGUUAGGGAAGAACAAGUGCGAGAGUAACUGCUCGCACCUUGACGGUACCUAACCAGAAAGCCACGGCUAACUACGUGCCAGCAGCCGCGGUAAUACGUAGGUGGCAAGCGUUGUCCGGAAUUAUUGGGCGUAAAGGGCUCGCAGGCGGUUUCUUAAGUCUGAUGUGAAAGCCCCCGGCUCAACCGGGGAGGGUCAUUGGAAACUGGGAAACUUGAGUGCAGAAGAGGAGAGUGGAAUUCCACGUGUAGCGGUGAAAUGCGUAGAGAUGUGGAGGAACACCAGUGGCGAAGGCGACUCUCUGGUCUGUAACUGACGCUGAGGAGCGAAAGCGUGGGGAGCGAACAGGAUUAGAUACCCUGGUAGUCCACGCCGUAAACGAUGAGUGCUAAGUGUUAGGGGGUUUCCGCCCCUUAGUGCUGCAGCUAACGCAUUAAGCACUCCGCCUGGGGAGUACGGUCGCAAGACUGAAACUCAAAGGAAUUGACGGGGGCCCGCACAAGCGGUGGAGCAUGUGGUUUAAUUCGAAGCAACGCGAAGAACCUUACCAGGUCUUGACAUCCUCUGACAACCCUAGAGAUAGGGCUUUCCCUUCGGGGACAGAGUGACAGGUGGUGCAUGGUUGUCGUCAGCUCGUGUCGUGAGAUGUUGGGUUAAGUCCCGCAACGAGCGCAACCUUUGAUCUUAGUUGCCAGCAUUUAGUUGGGCACUCUAAAGGUGACUGCCGGUGACAAACCGGAGGAAAG
rnacentral:rRNA from 1 species